rnacentral:rRNA from 1 species
UACGUAGGGUGCAAGCGUUAAUCGGAAUUACUGGGCGUAAAGCGUGCGCAGGCGGUUUUGUAAGACCGGGGUGAAAUCCCCGGGCUUAACCUGGGAACUGCAUUUGUGACUGCAUAGCUAGAGUACGGUAGAGGGGGAUGGAAUUCCGCGUGUAGCAGUGAAAUGCGUAGAUAUGCGGAGGAACACCGAUGGCGAAGGCAAUCCCCUGGACCUGUACUGACGCUCAUGCACGAAAGCGUGGGGAGCAAACAGG